UACGAAGGGGGCGAGCGUUGUUCGGAUUCAUUGGGCGUAAAGGGUGCGUAGGCGGCGCGGUAAGUCGGGUGUGAAAUCUCGGGGCUUAACUCCGAAACUGCAUUCGAUACUACCGUGCUUGAGGACUGGAGAGGAGACUGGAAUUUACGGUGUAGCGGUGAAAUGCGUAGAUAUCGUAAGGAAGACCAGUGGCGAAGGCGGGUCUCUGGACAGUUCCUGACGCUGAGGCACGAAGGUCAGGGGAGCAAACGGG
rnacentral:rRNA from 1 species